GCAUCUGUAGCUCAGUAGGAUAGAGCAACCGCCUCCUAAGCGGUAGGUCGCUGGUUCGACUCCAGUCAGAUGCG
rnacentral:tRNA from 1 species